rnacentral:rRNA from 1 species
CACGUAGGGCGCAAGCGUUGUCCGGAAUUAUUGGGCGUAAAGAGCUCGUAGGCGGUCUGUUGCGUCCGCUGUGAAAACCCAGGGCUUAACCCUGGGCUGGCAGUGGAUACGGACAGACUAGAGGUAGGUAGGGGAGAAUGGAAUUCCCGGUGUAGCGGUGAAACGCGCAGAUAUCGGGAGGAACACCGGUGGCGAAGGCGGUUCUCUGGGCCUUACCUGACGCUGAGGAGCGAAAGCGUGGGGAGCGAACAGG